CCAACAAGAGCCCCGCCUCUGGUUUUACCUCAUAUCAGCUUUGACCGCCAAACUUCAGGAGAUUCUGUCAUUGAAACUUACAGAUACGUGGGUCGCUACCAGAAUUCCUUGCUCUGAACGGGAGAAAACGGAUGACCUCUUCAAAAUUUCCCGUCUCUCCGUGUAUCCUGAAAGGUCAUGUCCGAAAGGAAGCGUGAAAUAUAAAAGGAAGCAAUUGACCUGACCUUAUUGGGGUCACUGAGCUGAAUCGUUGUCUAUAGAUCGAGCUAAGGUUAAUUUUCACCGGGAUAUGUCCGCCUCGUUCUGAAUUCUGUGUCUGAUUAUCUGUGCAAUUUUCCAAUAAAGUUGAUAGAAGAGAA